UGGGGAAUAUUGCGCAAUGGCCGAAAGGCUGACGCAGCGACGCCGCGUGUGGGAUGAAGCCCUUCGGGGUGUAAACCACUGUUGCCCGGGAAGAACGGGCGGAUUUUUCCGCCGUGACGGUACCGGGUGAGGAAGCACCGGCUAACUCCGUGCCAGCAGCCGCGGUAAUACGGAGGGUGCGAGCGUUGUCCGGAAUCACUGGGCGUAAAGGGCGCGUAGGCGGCCGAGUAAGGGGGCGGUGAAAGCCCGGGGCUCAACCCCGGGUCUGCCGGACCGACUGCUUGGCUAGAGCACACUAGAGGCGGGUGGAACUCCGGGUGUAGCGGUGGAAUGCGUAGAGAUCCGGAAGAACACCGGUGGCGAAGGCGGCCCGCUGGGGUGUGGCUGACGCUGAGGCGCGACAGCGUGGGGAGCAAACAGGAUUAGAUACCCCUGUAGUCC
rnacentral:rRNA from 1 species